rnacentral:rRNA from 1 species
CAGCCGCCACGGUAAUACGUAGGUCCCGAGCGUUGUCCGGAUUUAUUGGGCGUAAAGGGAGCGCAGGCGGUUUAGUAAGUCUGAAGUUAAAGGCAUUGGCUCAACCAAUGUAUGCUUUGGAAACUGUUAGACUUGAGUGCAGAAGGGGAGAGUGGAAUUCCAUGUGUAGCGGUGAAAUGCGUAGAUAUAUGGAGGAACACCGGUGGCGAAAGCGGCUCUCUGGUCUGUCACUGACGCUGAGGCUCGAAAGCGUGGGUAGCGAACAGGAUUAGAUACCCGUGUAGUCCCUGUCUCUUAUACA